UUCAACCAAAUGGACUGUGGUAAAAUUGGAAGGAUAAUGAGAAGAUAAGCAUGCCCCAUGCUCAAGAAAGACACACAAAUUUAGGAAGCAUUCGUCCAUAUCU
ensembl:snRNA U6 U6 spliceosomal RNA